rnacentral:lncRNA from 1 species
CCCGAGCUGAGGUGGAAGUCCGAGCUGGCGUUCCUGUCAGAGCGGGGACGUUUGGCGGGAACGUCGCGGAGCGGGGCUGUGGGCCGGCAGGUGUCUGCUCGGCUGCGGGACGGAGCAAGCAGAAGUCCGGGCUGAGCACGCGUUGUGCGUUCUCGCCGCCGAGCCGCUGCUUUCCCCCCGUCAACCAGGAGGCGGCAGGCAGCACCUGGCAGAAGGAGUAGCGCUGUGGUAAUUUACCCAAAACGAAGACUGUCCUGUGGCUCUCUCUGAUAAUCCGGCGCUUGUGGGGUGACUGAAAGUAUAAGCGUGAUGGCAGAUUUUCCGUGCGACCCGUAAACUGGAAUGAGUCCAAAGGAUACCACGAGUGCUGCUGCCUGAGGAGCGGCACUGCGCAGUGCAUCCUUCUCCUCAGGUUAUUGAGCUGAAUGAAGUCACAGAGGGGUCUAAUGAAUGCCAGAGCCUCUGAGAAGAAAAGAAUGGAAGCAGAAUCUUCUCAUUUCAUUAGCAGCAAGUCUCCAGAUGGUGUCACGGUGUUUCAGAAGGCAGGAUUAUGUGGAGAGAAAAUUUCAGGAUGCGAGGGACCACA